AACGUAGGUGGCAAGCGUUAUCCGGAUUUACUGGGCGUAAAGCGUGUGCAGGCGGUCUUCCAAGUGGUGUAUGAAAGCGCCCGGCUUAACCGGGCGAGGUUAUGCCAGACUGGGAGGCUGGAGACAGAGAGAGGGACGUGGAAUUCCGGGUGUAGUGGUGAAAUGCGUAGAGAUCCGGAGGAACACCAGAGGCGAAAGCGGCGUCCUAGCUCUGUUCUGACGCUCAGACACGAAAGCAUGGGGAGCGAAC
rnacentral:rRNA from 1 species